rnacentral:misc_RNA from 1 species
GUAACUGUGACAGGAAAUGUUGACCCAGCCAAGCUCAUAAAGAAGCUUGAAAAGUCAGGGAAGCAUGCUGAGCUAUGGGGAGCUCCUAGGGGCUUCAACAACUAUCAAAACCUUGUCAACAAUCAAUUCAAGAACAUGCAAACUGGAAAUGUCAAAGAAAACAAAUCUCAAAAGGGUGGAAAGGGAGGCCAACAAGGGCAACACCAAAUGCA